AUAGUUUUGCUGUGCCCCGACCCAAAUCUCAUCUUGAAUUGUAGUUCCUAUAAUCCCCACUGUGGUGGGAGGGACCUGGUAGGAGGUAACUGAAUCAUGGGGGCGGUUUUCCCCCAUGCUAUUCUCCUGAUAGUAACUUCUCAUGAGAUCUGAUGGUUUUAUAAGGGGCUUCCCCCUUCGCUCAGCUCUCAUUCUUCUCCUUGCUGCUAUCAUGUAAAAAAGGAUAUGUUUGCUUCCCCUUCCACCAUGAUCGUAAGUUUCCUGAGACCUCCCCAGCCAUGCUGAACUCAACAGCAACACCAGCAGGGAAAGAACAAGUUGAAACACAGUAAUAAUGAAUAAAAGAACUUUCUUUUGAAGAGAGGUUCUGAAACAAAGGAAAUGCCUGAACCCAAGACAACGGAUUUGGAUUGUCCAACAAAGCAAACACAAACAAAGUGGGGAAAGGACACCUUAUUCAACAAAUGGUGCUGGGUAAAUGGCAAGCCACAUGUAGGAGAAUGAAACUGGAGCCUCAUCUCUCACCUUAUACAAAAAUCAACUCAAAAUGGAUCAAAGACUUAAAUCUAUGACAUGGAACUAUAAAAAUUCUAGAAGAUAACAUUGGAAAAACCCUUCUAGACAUUGGCUUAGGCAAAGAUUUCAUGACCAAGAACCCAAAAGCGAAUGCAACCAAAACAACAAUAAAUAGGUGGGACUUAAUUAAACUAAAGAGCUUUUGCAUGGCAAAAAGAACAGUCAGCAGAGUAAAUAGACAACCCACAGAGUGGGAAAAAAAUGUUCACAAUCUAUGCAUCCAACAAAGGACUAAUAUUCAGAAUCUACAAGGAACUCAAACAUUAAUUAGCAAGAAAAAAACAAACCCAUCAAAAAGUGGGCUAAGGACAUGAAUAGACAAUUCUCAAAAGAAGAUACACAAAUGACCAAUAAACAUGAAAAAAUGCUCAACAUCACUAAUAAUCAGAGAAAUGAAAACCACAAUGCGAUACCACCUUACUCCCACAAGAAUGGUCAUUAUCAAAGAAUGAAAAAAUAAUAGAAGUUGGUGUGGAUACAGUGAAAAGGGAACACUUCUACACUGCUGGUGGGAAUGUAAACUAGUACACCCACUAUGGAAGAGUGUGGAGAUUCCUUAAAGAACUAAAAGUAGAACUACCAUUUGAUCCAGCAAUCCCACUACUGGGUAUCUACCCAGAGGAAAGGAAGUCAAUAUACAAAAAAGAUACUUGCACACACGUUUAUAGCAGCACAAUUCACAAUUCCAAAAAUGUGGAAGCAGCCCAAAUGCCCAUCAAUCAAUGAGUGGAUAAAGAAACUGUGGUACAUAUAUAUGAUGGAAUACUACUCAGCCAUAAAAAGGAAUGAAUUAAUGGCAUUCACAGCAACCUGGAUAGGAUUAGAGACUAUUAUUCUAAGUGAAGUAACUCAGGAAUGGAAAACCAAUCAGCCCAUGUUCUCAGUUAUAAGUGGGAGCUAAGCUAUGAGGAUGCAAAGGCAUAAAAAUGAUACAAUAGACUUUGGGGGCUCAGGGGGAAAGGGUAGGAAGGGGGUGAGGGAUAAAAGACUAUAAAUUGGGUUCAGUGUAUACUGCUCGGGUUAUGGGUGCACUAAUAUCUCACAAAUUACCACUAAAGAACUUAUGU
rnacentral:lncRNA from 10 species